rnacentral:rRNA from 1 species
UUCCUUGGAAAAGGACAGCUGAGAGGGUGAAACUCCCGUCCGCCUGGUAGAAUGAGUCUUUGUCAACGAGUCGAGUUGUUUGGGAUUGCAGCUCUAAUUUGGUGGUAAAUUCCAUCUAAAGCUAAAUAUUGGUGGGAGACCGAUAGCGUACAAGUACCGUGAGGGAAAGAUGCAAAGAACUUUGAAAAGAGAGUUAAAGAGUACCUGAAAUUGCUGAAACGGAAGCGAAAGAAACCAGUGUUUGUUGGUUCAUAUUUCCUUGGCCACUUGUGGUUUGGGCG